ACUCCUACGGGAGGCAGCAGUGGGGAAUAUUGCACAAUGGGCGCAAGCCUGAUGCAGCCAUGCCGCGUGUAUGAAGAAGGCCUUCGGGUUGUAAAGUACUUUCAGCAGUGAGGAAGGCAGGUACGUUAAUAGCGUGCUUGUUUGACGUUAGCUGCAGAAGAAGCACCGGCUAACUCCGUGCCAGCAGCCGCGGUAAUACGGAGGGUGCGAGCGUUAAUCGGAAUUACGUGGCGUAAAGCGCAUGCAGGUGGUUGUUAAGUCAGAUGUGAAAGCCCGGGGCUCAACCUCGGAAUUGCAUUUGAAACUGGCAGACUAGAGUACUGUAGAGGGGGUAGAAUUUCAGGUGUAGCGGUGAAAUGCGUAGAGAUCUGAAGGAAUACCGGUGGCGAAGCGGCCCCUGGACAGAUACUGACACUCAGAUGCGAAAGCGUGGGAGCAAACAGGAUUAGAU
rnacentral:rRNA from 1 species